rnacentral:tRNA from 1 species
ACUUAAAUAGCUUAUAUUUAGAGUUUAAUAUUGAAGAUAUUAAGGAAAUAAUUUAUUAUUUUUAAGUA